ACUCUAAUCCGCGGUUCUGUCAAUCAGCAGCAGCAGUCUUAUCUGUGGGCCGCAGGGGCUGAUGGGAGCUUUGAGGACCUGUUAGAAACCACGUGGCCCUCGUCUGAUCUCACAGCUCGUCCUUGUUUGGCCUCAGCUGCAUCAGAGCGCCACUUCUCCCCAGGUUCACCAGAGGAAACACCACUGCACAAAAUGCUUUUCCUCCCAGCUGCUGCUCUGUGCUGUCUGUGUUCAGCACUGGUUACCAUGGCAGCAGAACAGCUGAUUCAGGAAGAUUUAACAUUGACCAGGAGAGUUGGAGAAAGUGUCUCCUUCAGCUGUGGAGGGACUGACCAGUGUUACUACAGUGAAGUAUUCUGGUACCAGAAGAAAGAAAAAGAAACAUUCAGAGUGAUUCUUUAUAUUGAUAAGAAUAGUGGUUCUGUUUACUCAGGUUAUGGUCAUCCUCAGAAAAAUGAUUUCUCAGCUCAGAAUAAACAGAACGGCUGUGAGUU